GCUUAAACCAUAAACUUAUUUUAUUGACAUUGAAGUUGAUCUGUCUCAGCAUUGCAAAGUGAAAUUGUAUCAUCUUCAAGUAGCAAAUGAGACACCUUUAGACUAUCUUAAUUCUCCCUCUUAGUUGUGAACUGGAAACUGGAAACUGGAACCCUUCAAUACGAACAACAUAGGUGAGCGGAUCCCUGUGCACAAACCUCUCGUGUCCCGAGAAACUUGUGUGGUUCCUGUUGACUAUCAUUGAUAGUUUUCUAAUGCAGUUUCUUAAUAUUAUUGUUAAUCGGGGUGAUUUUCCACGUGCACCGACCAUGUGGCCUUUUUUGUCCAGGUGGCGUGCUUGGUGUCAUUUUGUUAGAGAGAGGGAUAUUUUUGAGCUAAAAAUUUAACGGAGGAGUAUUUUCGAGCCAAAAAACAAACGGAAGGUAUUUUUGCUCCAUUUCGAAUAGUUCAGACGUAUUUUUGAUCCUUUUUCAUUUUUUAAGUAAUAUUUUAUAAAAAAUAUGUUUGUACCAAACACACCCAAAAAGAGAAUAGGUAUUAUUAUUAAGAAAUAAUAAAUGCUCUGAUAGAAAACAAGAAUGUAAUUUCAAAGUUGCACAAAUUUUACUAAAAUUAAAAUAACAAAUAAUGCAUUCCAUCCAUUUCAUUUUGUUUUACAUUUGCUGAUUUGGUAAUGCUAUUAAAAACCUAUUUACUAGAAGUUUGUUUAUUUAUCUCGAUAAUUAUAUUUUGAAAAUAUAUGAAUGACAAUUAUUGGGUAUGUGAAGGCAAUGGAAUCCCCAAGAUCCUCACUUAUAUUAAGUUGUUAUGUAGUUACCUAUUGAUAACAAUAAUAUCGGAAUAAAAUAAUAAAUCUCUCUUGAUUUUGCAAAAAUAAUAUGUAGAAAAAGAAUUUUAUUUUUAGUACAAGAGUCAAGCAAAAUGAAAAAGAGAGAGAAAUUCCUUUUUACCUAUUUCUUUGACUUAACAAAUAACUUAAGAAUCAAAUAUAAAGGGCAACCUGGUGCACUAAAGCUACCUCUAUGCGUGGUGUCCGGGGCAGGGCCCCACCACAAGGGUGUAUCGUACGUAGCCUUACCUUGCACUUCUGCUAGAGGCUGUUUCCAAGGCUUGAACGGUUGAUCUCCUGGUCACAUGGAAACAACUUUACCAGUUACUCCAAAGCUCCCUUUCAACUUAAGAAUCAAAUAUAUUAAGAGUAAAACAUAUGAAAUUAAUUAUGUUUUAAAAUUUAAAAUUUUCUAUUAAUAGUUUAUAUAAUUACUUGAUGAUGGUGAUGGUGAUGGUGAUGGUGAUGGUGAUGAUGAUGAUGAUAAGAGAAAAUACAUAAUUACACCACUGAUGCUGUCCGAGAUUUUCGAAAAGACACUUAAACUUUCAAUACCACCUAUUACUCCACGAUUCUUAUUUAAUCCCUUAUAAAUACAUCAUUUUGACUUAUUUUUUGUCUCUGUGUGUAGUCACACAUGCCAGACGUGUGAACAAUUAAAUGUGAUUCAGUUACCCAAUUAAACUCUGCCACGUGUCAAUUAAAUGUCCAAAAAAUAGAAUUCUUUUCUUCUCCUCUUUAAAACCACGAACCUCCUUCCAGUUGCCAUUAACGGCUAUUUGAAGAAAAUUUUUGCCUCUUUUUCUAAUCUUUUCUCAACAAAAUCAACCUUAAAAGGUAAGAUGUUUCCAUUAUGUUGUAAUUUCUAAAGAAAUUCAGUCCUAAAAGCUUUAAUUUCGUCUUAAUUUUUUUAAUUUUUUUGAAAUCAUGUUAAAUUUUGUAUCUAGGUAUUUGCCGAAAAUAGUUUUACAAUGUCAAAUGCAAUCUUGAAUCGAAUUUGUAAUGACGAGAUCGAUCCCAUGUUGCGUGUAAAAAUACGAUGCAAACAUGGAGACUUACUGUCAAUGCAAACAUCAUGGUCGGAGGACAACCCAGCUAGAAGAUUUUGGUCUUGUCCAUGCUAUCGUGUAUGUCCUAUACAUGUUUUCUUAUUUUUCCUCUUGUUUCUGUUCAAUUGAUUUUUUUAUGCUUCUUUUAGGAGAAAUCAUGCAACUUCUUUAGAUGGAGGGACCCGAACGAGAC
rnacentral:lncRNA from 1 species